UGAUAAAACAGCCUUCAGGCAGGCCCAGAUUCAGACUCCUACCACAGACGCAGGGAAAGCAGAGUAGAUUACUCAAAUCUGGGCUCACUCUCGGUUAAAUGACACCAAGGCAAUAGACACCCUAAGACCAAGCCCUUGAUGGGAUGACGUCAUCAAACUUAAGGCUCGGGGAUCUGUGUGGAAGAGGAGAUGGAAGGAUGGUAAGAGCCGGAGGUGGUGGAUGACUCCGAGGAAACAGCCUUUACCAGAUUCAACGGGGCUGAUGCAGGUCACAUGAAGAAAAGACCAGAAAUUCUUCAAGGCGGGAAAGUCAUUAACGUAACAUGGUACCCCAGCCUUUCCUUUUGCUCUUCACCACCGUGGCUGAGAGAACCUUCCAGAGAAACUGCAGGUGCUUGUGGCAAGAACACAGUAACUAGAAUUUUGUGAAUUAUCAAAGCCUGUGCACUCCCGGGUGUAGCACUGGAGUGGAGGGGAUCGUGAUGUCUGUACUUCAGCAUCGCCACUCGCCGGCUGGGCUGAUGGAGUCAAUUGUUCCAGUUUCUUUUUAAAAUAAAUAGCUCUCCCUGGCCUCC